UUUUGCAAAAAGUGCAUAACAUAGUCCUAUAAUUUAAGCUGGAAGAAAGGGUAAACCUAGAGAGCUCCUUCCUUAAUUUUUCCUUUAAAUUUUACCUUUAGUAAAAAGGCUUAAAAUGCUCUUUUAGACAAGAAGACCCCUAUAAAGCUUUACAUAAAAUAAUUUAAUAAAUUAAAAUUAUGUUUCACUGGGCGGUGAGAGGAUUAAACACCUCCUAUAAUAUUAAAAUAUCAUUAUUUUAAUACCCAAAAAUUUUGAAGAUUAAAUAAGUUACUUUAGGGAUAACAGCGUAAUGUAUUUUGAAAGUUCAAAUUGACGAAUAUGUUUGCGACCUCGAUGUUGGAUUAGAUUUCCAUUAUUCCGCAAGAGGAAUAAAAGGGGUCUGUCGACCCAAAAAACCCA
rnacentral:rRNA from 1 species